UGAAGUCACUUGGCUAUGGAGAAAGUGACAGAAUGAAGGUGUAUGCAGUUACAAACAAGCAUGGGCCUGGAGGAAGUUGAAGGAGAAGGUGGCUUCCAAAGUGCUUCUCAUUAUUUCCUUAUACAGUUCCUCUGCAGAGUCCUUCAUUGAAUCCAGUGGAGGCCCACAAUGACGCU
rnacentral:lncRNA from 1 species